UCAAAGCAGCCAGCCCUGGUGAGGUGAAGGCCCCAGGAGCUCCAGGUGAUAGAACCCAAAUCAGACCAGAGCCAGAAGUCCCUGCAGAUGAAGACGCCUGUGGAGGCUGCAGCCCCAAGCCGCCCAGCUACCUCCAUCCUGACCCAGCAUGCUGGAUCUUAGUUUCCCGACCAAGGAUCGAACCCAUUCGCCCUGCAGUGGGAGCUCGGAGUCUUAAUCACUGGACCGCCAGGGAAGUCCCUCAACUGAGUCUCUUAAAAUGAGAGUUCUGUGGACUCUGCGUCUUCUGGCAGUUGGAGGCAUUCAGAGGACAUUUGCUGGCCUGAACAAAGGGACACAAGAAAGGAGCCAAGAAGCGCUAAGGAGUUUGGGAGAUUUCAUUUGCAAUGUGUGGGCAACGUCAGUGCAGGGGAAGAUGGACCAAUUAGAAGUUGCACUUGAGGCCAGUGGGAUAGGAGAGCCGAUCAGACUGUGGACCCAGAGGAACUCUUUGUCCUCACAGAGGAUUAUAUGAGGCGGUGCAGCCGUGCAGCUAUCAGC